rnacentral:rRNA from 1 species
AUUGAACGCUGGCGGCAUGCCUUACACAUGCAAGUCGAACGGCAGCACGGGGCAACCUGGUGGCGAGUGGCGAACGGGUGAGUAAUGCAUCGGAACGUACCUUUCAGUGGGGGAUAACAUAGCGAAAGUUACGCUAAUACCGCAUAUUCUGUGAGCAGGAAAGCAGGGGAUCGCAAGACCUUGCGCUGAUUGAGCGGCCGAUGUCAGACUAGCUAGUUGGUGAGGUAAAGGCUCACCAAGGCGACGAUCUGUAGCGGGUCUGAGAGGAUGAUCCGCCACACUGGAACUGAGACACGGUCCAGACUCCUACGGGAGGCAGCAGUGGGGAAUUUUGGACAAUGGGGGCAACCCUGAUCCAGCCAUGCCGCGUGAGUGAAGAAGGCCUUCGGGUUGUAAAGCUCUUUCGGCCGGGAAGAAAUCGCACGGGCUAAUACCCUGUGUGGAUGACGGUACCGGAAUAAGAAGCACCGGCUAACUACGUGCCAGCCGCCGCCGUAAUAC